rnacentral:misc_RNA from 1 species
GAUGAAGAACGCAGCGAAAUGCGAUAAGUAAUGUGAAUUGCAGAAUUCAGUGAAUCAUCGAAUCUUUGAACGCACAUUGCGCCCGCCAGUAUUCUGGCGGGCAUGCCUGUUCGAGCGUCAUUUCAACCAUCAAGCCCCCGGCUUGUGUUGGGGACCUGCGGCUGCCGCAGGCCCUGAAAACCAGUGGCGGGCUCGCUAGUCACUCCGAGCGUAGUAAUACAUCUCGCUCAGGGCGUGCUGCGGGUUCCGGCCGUUAAAAAGCCUUAUUUACCCAAGGUUGACCUCGGAUCAGGUAGGAAGACCCGCUGAACUUAAGCAUACCAAUAAGCGGAGGA